rnacentral:rRNA from 1 species
AGUGAACGCUGGCGGUAGGCCUAACACAUGCAAGUCGAACGGCAGCACAGGAGAGCUUGCUCUCUGGGUGGCGAGUGGCGGACGGGUGAGGAAUACAUCGGAAUCUACCCUGUCGUGGGGGAUAACGUAGGGAAACUUACGCUAAUACCGAAUACGACCUACGGGUGAAAGCAGGGGAUCUUCGGACCUUGCGCGAUUGAAUGAGCCGAUGUCGGAUUAGCUAGUUGGCGGGGUAAAGGCCCACCAAGGCGACGAUCCGUAGCUGGUCUGAGAGGAUGAUCAGCCACACUGGAACUGAGACACGGUCCAGACUCCUACGGGAGGCAGCAGUGGGGAAUAUUGGACAAUGGGCGCAAGCCUGAUCCAGCCAUACCGCGUGGGUGAAGAAGGCCUUCGGGUUGUAAAGCCCUUUUGUUGGGAAAGAAAUCCAGCUGGCUAAUACCCGGUUGGGAUGACGGUACCCAAAGAAUAAGCACCGGCUAACUUCGUGCCAGCUGCCGCCGUAA